UACAGAGGGUGCGAGCGUUAAUCGGAUUUACUGGGCGUAAAGGGCACGUAGGCGGUAAGAUGUGUGUGAUGUGAAAGCCCCGGGCUCAACCUGGGAAGUGCAUCGCAAACUAUCUAACUAGAGUAUAUGAGAGGGUGGCGGAAUUUCCGGUGUAGCGGUGAAAUGCGUAGAGAUCGGAAGGAGCGUCAAUGGCGAAGGCAGCCGCCUGGCAUAAUACUUACGCUGAGGUGCGAAAGCGUGGGGAUCGAACAGG
rnacentral:rRNA from 1 species